UACUAAUGCAGUAACUGACGACAUUUGUGGAAAUGACCACUUGGAAGCUGCAUUUUUAUAUUGUCGGGUCGUCUGGGCAGAGAUA
rnacentral:ncRNA from 2 species